AACGUAGGAGACAAACGUUAUCCGGAGUUACUGGGCGUAAAGGGCGUGCAGGCGGUCUGUUAAGUCUGGCGUGAAAGCUCUCGGCUAAACCGGGAGAGGUCGUUGGAUACUGACGGACUAGAGGACGGUAGAGGCGUGUGGAAUUCCGGGUGUAGUGGUGAAAUGCGUAGAGAUCCGGAGGAACACCAGUGGCGAAGGCGACACGCUGGGCCGUACCUGACGCUAAGACGCGACAGCAUGGGGAGCGAACAGG
rnacentral:rRNA from 1 species